ACGAGAUGUGAUGAUGUUUAACCAUCAUUACUGCAAUUUUGUGAUGAAUACAUACAUGCACUACCAUCUGAUCUCUG